AAUGAACGCUGGCGGCGUGCUUAACACAUGCAAGUCGAACGAGAAAGGCUUCUUCGGGAGCCGAGUAGAGUGGCGCACGGGUGAGUAACGCGUAGGUAACCUGCCCCUGGUGUUGGGGAUAACACUCCGAAAGGGGUGCUAAUACCGGAUACGACGACUCCUCGGUAAGGGGGAUCGUGAAAGAGGGCCUCUCCAAUGAGAAGCUCUUGCACCGGGAGGGACCUGCGUCCUAUCAGCUGGUUGGUAGGGUAGCGGCCUACCAAGGCGACGACGGGUAGCUGGUCUGAGAGGAUGAUCAGCCACACUGGCACUGGAACACGGGCCAGACUCCUACGGGAGGCAGCAGUGAGGAAUUUUGCGCAAUGGGGGAAACCCUGACGCAGCAACGCCGCGUGGGUGAUGAAGGCCUUCGGGUCGUAAAGCCCUGUCGGGUGGGAAGAAAGGGGAGGAGGGAAACACCCUCUUCUCGUGACGGUACCACCAGAGGAAGCACCGGCUAACUCCGUGCCAGCAGCCGCGGUAAUACGGAGGGUGCAAGCGUUAUUCGGAAUUACUGGGCGUAAAGCGCGUGCAGGCGGGUGAGGCGGGUCUGAUGUGAAAGCCCGGGGCUUAACCCCGGAAGUGCAUUGGAAACUGCCCAUCUUGAGUUCCGGAGAGGAAGGGGGAAUUCCCGGUGUAGAGGUGAAAUUCGUAGAGAUCGGGAGGAAUACCAGUGGCGAAGGCGCCCUUCUGGACGGCAACUGACGCUGAGACGCGAAAGCGUGGGGAGCAAACAGGAUUAGAUACCCUGGUAGUCCACGCUGUAAACGAUGAUCACUGGGUGUAGCGGGUACUCAUUCCUGCUGUGCCGCAGCUAACGCGUUAAGUGAUCCGCCUGGGGACUACGGUCGCAAGACUAA
rnacentral:rRNA from 1 species